AUACAGAAAUAUAUGGGAAAAGGGCUGAUAUAUUUCUUAAUAUACUAUCAAUACAUCUCCAUAUAUUUCCCAGUAUAUUGCAAUAUACUUUUGUUUCGUAAGGGGGCCGCCUCUUCUUUGGAACAGACGGGCUCUUUCCUUUCUCGCGAGCUAAGAUCAUUAAGGAGAAGACCCGUUGGUGUUCGCGCCCCCCUAGGAAACAGACGGUGGGAUCUCCUUUCUGCUUCCUUUCUCGCCGCUGCUGGGUGUC